GUUUUGGUUUGGUUUUUUUAAGGCUUUGGGAAACUGUAAAAAGCAGAAUCACUGCUUCCCAAACACAGUAAUUGUGAAGACCAGACAUCCCUUUGACAAGGAGUAGCUGCAAGUUUAAGGAAAAACACUGCAUCUUCUCUUGUCAUGGGAAAAAGCUAUAGGAGAAGAAAACCUGACAAUAGACAGAAGGAUUUCAUGCUGUUAUUGAAGACAGAGGAAAAGCAAGAAAGGAAAUAGAUUCAGUUUGGUCAUUGAGGUUGGAUCAGAUCUCCUGCAAGAGAGGGAUAAAAGUGGUGAGGACUGAGAAAAGCAAGUCUCAGGAAAAGGAAGGUUUUGCUGGGAAUAUAUCAGAAGUUCUAGACGUGAAGUUGAGCAGCUGGCUGAGCAGAGGGGAUGUGCACACACAGCAUCAAACAUUGCUGCACUCAUGCUUUGAAGGGGAAAGGAAAACAACCAAGAGCAAGAAACACAGGGAGGCUCAUGGCUCUGGAUGAGGAUUUCUUGGCUGGUUUUACUCUGGGCUUCAUAGCAUUCCUGUGCAGGCAAUCACAUGUAGGCAGCUCAAUCUUCACAUGCUCAGCUGCUGGUUGUCCUUCUGGGAUGGUUCCCAACGGAGGAAAAACUCUGUGGGGAGGUGAGGGGGCCAAGGAAAACUGCUCUGCCAGAUUUUUGAAAAAUCUUCCACAAACGUUGUGAACCUAGGAUGAGUGUCAGAAAUCUGGCUUUUGGUGGAAUUGAGGUAAAACUUGCUGUGAGACUACACUUGGCUCACCUGGGUAGGAGCAUUUAGGUAGGGAGGAGCUGCAGUGUGCAG